AUGAACGCUGGCGGCGUGCCUAAUACAUGCAAGUCGAGCGAACGGACGAGAAGCUUGCUUCUCUGAUGUUAGCGGCGGACGGGUGAGUAACACGUGGAUAACCUACCUAUAAGACUGGGAUAACUUCGGGAAGCCGGAGCCAAUACCGGAUAAUAUUUUGAACCGCAUGGUUCAAAAGUGAAAGACGGUCUUGCUGUCACUUAUAGAUAGAUCCGCGCUGCAUUAGCUAGUUGGUAAGGUAACGGCUUACCAAGGCAACGAUGCAUAGCCGACCUGAGAGGGUGAUCGGCCACACUGGAACUGAGACACGGUCCAGACUCCUACGGGAGGCAGCAGUAGGGAAUCUUCCGCAAUGGGCGAAAGCCUGACGGAGCAACGCCGCGUGAGUGAUGAAGGUCUUCGGAUCGUAAAACUCUGUUAUUAGGGAAGAACAUAUGUGUAAGUAACUGUGCACAUCUUGACGGUACCUAAUCAGAAAGCCACGGCUAACUACGUG
rnacentral:rRNA from 1 species